CGCGUAGGUGGUAGUGUAAGUCUGGGGUGGAAUCCCAGGGCUUAACCCUGGAACUGCCUUGGAAACUGUAUUACUUGAGUCAGUGAGGGGAGGGUAGAAUUCCUGGUGUAGCGGUGAAAUGCGUAGAUAUCAGGAGGAAGGCCUGUGGCGAAGGCGGCCCUCUGGCGCUGGACUGACACUGAGGCGCGAAAGCGUGGGGAGCAAACGGGAUUAGAUACCCUGGUAGUCCACGCCCUAAACGGUGGGCACUAGGUGUAGGGCUCGUAAGGGUUCUGUGCCGAAGGGAAACCAUUAAGUGCCCCGCCUGGGGAGUACGGCCGCAAGGUUGAA
rnacentral:rRNA from 1 species